rnacentral:rRNA from 1 species
UACGUAGGGUGCAAGCGUUGUCCGGAUUUAUUGGGCGUAAAGAGCUCGUAGGCGGUUUGUCGCGUCGGAUGUGAAAACCCAGGGCUCAACCCUGGGCCUGCAUUCGAUACGGGCAGACUAGAGUAUGGCAGGGGAGACUGGAAUUCCUGGUGUAGCGGUGGAAUGCGCAGAUAUCAGGAGGAACACCGGUGGCGAAGGCGGCAUCCUGGACCGGCAUUGACGCUGAGGCGCGAAAGCCAGGGGAGCAAACGGG